GGAUGUGAGGGCGAUCUGGCUGCGACACCUGUCACCCCACUGGUCGCCAGGGUUGAUCCGGCUGAUCUGGCUGGCUGGGCGGGUGUCCCCUUCCUCCCUCACGGCUUCAUGUGCGUCCCUCCCAAAGCUGUGCGCGCUCGGUUGAAGAGGACGGCCUUCCCCGAAUAGAGACGGGCGGGUUUUUGGUGGGUGUAUGAGUAGCUGCGCUCCCCUGCUAGACCCUCCAAACAGGCUCUCAAAAUUCUCUAUGGGGAGCAAAAGGUGGGAGUUCUGGCUUCUGUCGUUACUUCUCCGCUGGACAUGGGUGUUGGCAGGUGGACCCACACCCCCAGCCUGU
rnacentral:snRNA from 1 species